rnacentral:lncRNA from 1 species
CCGGCAAUACGAACCGGCAACGAGAAGAGAACCGGCGACCAUAACCGGCAACACACCAUGCCAUUGCGAACCGUAAUGGAAGAAGAGAACAGUUCUGAUUGCUGAAAGAUCUACAUGGCCGUUUUCUUUCAAGAAUUCUUGAUACCAUCUACCUGACAAUUUGGGUACCCUGUCAAAUGUUUCCCGGUCAACAUAGUGUAACCCGAAUCUGUUAUUGUAACCCUGAGCCCAUUCGUAGUUGUCCAUCAACGACCAUAUAAAGUAGCCACGGAC